rnacentral:rRNA from 1 species
GUGUCAGCCGCCGCGGUAAUACGUAGGGUGCAAGCGUUGUCCGGAUUUAUUGGGCGUAAAGAGCUCGUAGGCGGUUUGUCACGUCGGGUGUGAAAAUCCGGGGCUCAACCCCGGACCUGCAUCCGAUACGGGCAGACUUGAGUGUGGUAGGGGAGACUGGAAUUCCUGGUGUAGCGGUGAAAUGCGCAGAUAUCAGGAGGAACACCAAUGGCGAAGGCAGGUCUCUGGGCCACAACUGACGCUGAGGAGCGAAAGCGUGGGGAGCAAACAGGAUUAGAUACCCUGGUAGUCCACGCCGUAAACGGUGGGCGCUAGGUGUGGGGAACAUUCCACGUUCUCCGUGCCGCAGCUAACGCAUUAAGCGCCCCGCUUGGGGAGCACGGCCGCAAGGCUAAA